GCAAAUGGCUGCGAGCGCUUAGAGAGGGAACGGGCGGCGACGGGCCUGGCCGCGGCCCUGAGAAGGGAGCCAGUUCCCCUCUCUUUCUCCGAGCUACAGCAACGCGUGCUGGGCGGGCGGCGUGGGACCUGUCAGGGGGUGCGGGGCGGCGGCAACAGCACCCUUGACGGCGGCCGCCGCUGAGGCGGCGGCAAUGGCAACGACAGUCGCCGCCGCUCUUUGUCUGGCGGAGCCCAAAAUGGCUGCAUGUUCGGCGGCGGCGGCGGCUGUUGCUCUGCGCGCCUGGGUCUUCCUCGCCGGAGCGAGUCUGAAGGACGCCCCGCACCUGUGCCAGCUGUUGUAACCGAUACGCUCGCGGGAGGGGUGCGGGCGGGGAAGUGGCGGCGGCGGCGGCAGCAGGAGGAGAAGAAGCGUCAGGGCAGUCGCCCAAGCUCCGCCACUCAGAUGCUGCUGCUCGCGGAGGACUCGGCCGGGCCACGGGGGCUCGGAGGAAGCGGCGCCGGCCGUCCAGCCUCGCUCUCUGGCCCUCCCUCCUCCCCGCCGCCUGUCUGCGGCGGCGGCGGCUGCUCGGGCGACAGCCCUUCUGAAGAGGCGCCCGCUCUCUAGCUCUCCCUCUCCACAUUGCCUGCGGAGGAUCGUGCCGGGCGAGGAGAGGAGGUCACCCGCCGGUCUCGCCCUUGGAGAGAAGGGCCUGGGUGGGCUUAUGCCUCGACUGGCAGAGACCCAGCCCGCCCGCCCGCCGCCUCUUUCUCUCUCCCCACCGCCUGGUCCCACCAAGAGCCUGGACUCCGUUUAUUAAGCCUCACAAUCCCGAAACCCCGCUUUCCUCGGCGCCCCCCACGGUCCACUUGUCAUCUGCCAGAAAAGAUUCUCCCCAUAUCUCUCCCCCGGGAGGGAAGACGAAGGCCGCUUCUCUCUUCUCCCCAGCCCCCACAAAAAAGUCCUGAACCGGGAUCUAGAGCAACAUAUUCGUGACUAAGCACCAAUGAAAUCAAUGAGCGGCAUUCUGGAAUCUGAAUUUAGAAAAUUUGAUUCUGCAAAGUGUGACAGCCCCACACUGUAAAUACAAAGAUGGGGACUGGGAAUAGGAGGAAUGUUUAUAUAUUGAAGCCCUUGGAGAAAAAAGAUAGAAUUAAAAAAUAAUAAUCAGGAAAAUGGCUAUAUACUGCCCUGCUCAUGAAAGUUCAGCAGCAAAAGGCGGGGAACGAGGAUGCCUUGUCAUAAAGAACAUUAACCCUUUGUGCCCCAGAAGAAGCUGUCAACCUUUAAGUGUUCCAGAAACAAAGAGAUCUUAACAAAUCUGCUUCACGCUUUGAAGCCCUCUGCAGAUGGUGGGAAGGAGGAAGUAUAGUGUUGUUGAUUUUGAACCCCACUAUAAGAGGUGGUAUCCAUAGGAUAUAUAAGCUUACCUAAGGUACCAAAACAAACAAAAUAUGUUCUGGAUAUAAUAAACACAAAGAAUACAGUUAGCAUAGGCAGGAAGACAGUUUUAUCUAUUGUUACUGACACUGAAUUGUCAUGUAGUUAUCUAUUACAUUUUAACUUUAGAUAAUGGUCACACUAUCUCUUCCAUACCAUAGCCCUUUGAUCCCAACUUUACCAUUUCUCUGUGCAUUUGUGUGUGUGUGUGUAUAAAUACACACACACAAAAAUACACACACACGAGUUUCUAAGGAUGAUACAUGUACUGUAGUCCAUGAAAGCUUACACUGAAAUAAAUGUUAGGUAUUAUAACAUGCUUUGUUAUGUUUUGCUGCAACAGACUAACAUGACUAUCUGAAAAUAGAUUCUGGUCAUUCUGUUUUCCCUGACUAGGAUAUCAGAUUCCUAAUCAUGUGUACUCUUUUCAUGUCCAUCAUACUCCUGUCACUCAUGGUAAAUAGACUUCUUUUUCUUCUGACCACUUUGCAUAUCCUCCCCCUUUCAAUUUGGAUAAUGAGGCAUUUUUUGCUUAGCAAUUGGCUUUGCUGCCCUCACAACAGGUAGGUAGAGCUCCACUACCAUAGAAUAACAUAAAAGGAAGAAUGCUUAACUGUGGCAGAAAUGUGAUAAGAGUUAGUAUGCUGCUUACCAAAGUCCAGGUUGACAGGAAAUGAUAGUUAUAAGGUAUCAGUUGUUCGCGCCUAUUAUGUCACCGUACUUACCCUUCCUUAUUUAUGCUUCCUUUUACCUUUGUCCUAUCUGCCUCUCUUGCAACAAAAAUUACUAGUGAGCAAAAAUACUUCUAUGCAAAAACCAUACAAUUUCUAACAUCUGUAAAGUUGAUACUGCAUGAAAAUCUUAAACAAGUCCUCAAGACAGAAAAAUGACCUAUGUAUAUGAUGCAAACGACUUCACAAACAGCCCGGGCCUAGCCUUGUUUAUGCAGAAGUCCUAUUCUGUGGGAUUUGUUUGUCCUGUGUAUGCUUAGGAUUUCUGCCCCAGGAGUGCAAUCCACUUUCACGGGACUGUCCAGAGGUAGGCAGAAGGUACAUGAUGGCUCCAUUACGGAUAGACUACUUAGUGCCUUUUAGUUGUUGAGAUUCCUACAAAGAAUGUUGGAUUAGGUGGACCUUGGUCUGAUGCAGCAAGGCACUUUCUGAGUAUGAAUUCAUGCAUUGCAAGCACAUUGGCAGAGGAUAGGGAUCCCAUGUGUUUUGUUUUUUAAGCUAUGGAAGUUAUCUCCAGUGACUGUUGCUGGUGUCUGUCUUAUUUUUCUUUUUAGAUUGUGAGCCCUUUUGGGACAGGGAUCCAUCUUAUUUAUGUAUUAUUUCUCUGUGUAAACCACCCUGAGCCAUUUUUGGAAAGGCGGUAUAGAAGUCAAAUAAAUAAAUAAAAUCUACAGCUCAUA